AUUGAACGCUGGCGGCAGGCCUAACACAUGCAAGUCGAGCGGAUGAAGGGAGCUUGCUCCUGGAUUCAGCGGCGGACGGGUGAGUAAUGCCUAGGAAUCUGCCUGGUAGUGGGGGAUAACGUCCGGAAACGGGCGCUAAUACCGCAUACGUCCUGAUGGAGAAAGUGGGGGAUCUUCGGACCUCACGCUAUCAGAUGAGCCUAGGUCGGAUUAGCUAGUUGGUGGGGUAAAGGCCUACCAAGGCGACGAUCCGUAACUGGUCUGAGAGGAUGAUCAGUCACACUGGAACUGAGACACGGUCCAGACUCCUACGGGAGGCAGCAGUGGGGAAUAUUGGACAAUGGGCGAAAGCCUGAUCCAGCCAUGCCGCGUGUGUGAAGAAGGUCUUCGGAUUGUAAAGCACUUUAAGUUGGGAGGAAGGGCAGUAAGUUAAUACCCUGCUGUUUUGACGUUACCAACAGAAUAAGCACCGGCUAACUUCGUG
rnacentral:rRNA from 1 species